rnacentral:rRNA from 1 species
UUGAAAGGGAAACGAUUGAAGUCAGUCGUACCUGUGGGUAAUCAGCCUUUUGGGUGUGAUUUUGUGGAGUGUGAGGAGUUAAACGCCUUCAUGCCUGCAUAUUCGUGCACUUUGGGUGUAUUUACCCGUGUGGUAAGUUAACAUCAAUUUCGGUGAUCAUAAAAUGGCUGGAGGAAUGUAGCUUCGAUCUUGUAUUGAAGUGUUAUAGCCUUCGGUAGAUGUGAUGAUCGGGAUUGAGGAUUGCAACGGAUACCCUUCGGGGCUACCUGUCUGAUCUCUGAUCGUUGCUCUGGUGCCGAAAGCUUGCUUACGGUUAUCAAAGUCGAUGGUCAAUAGGUUAGAACGGGUUAAAUUCGUUAAGGAUGUUGACGUA